CGCAAGUCCUAUCUAUAGUCCUGGGUCUCAAAUGUUGAGGCUGGGCUUGGGAAAGCUGAUGCUGGAGGAGCGCCGCGAGGUCCAGACCAGUGUGGACUACAAAGUGAGACUCUGUCUCAGAAAAUAAACAAAGCUGGGCACUGUGGCACCUGCCUAUAAUCCUAUAAUUAUAGGAAGAUCAUUAGUUCAAGGGCACAUAGUGAAGUAGGCCAGCCUGAGCUAUUUGAGACCUUGUCUCAAAUAAACAGAAACAAAAACAAAACGGGCGUUGCUCAGCGGUGGAGAGGUUGCACGCGCAGGUCCCUCGGUCCAUCCCCUCGGUCCAUCCCCAGCACCCGAAAAAUAAAAAUUUCAAAAGACCGUUACAUGUACGUGGCUCAGAGAUUCCGUAUUUCCUGUAAUGCUUUUUGAAAUAGCAAAUAAUGUUUAAAGGCAGAGUCCUGUGGCAAGGGGUAAAGUGCUUGCAAUGCAAGCAUGAGGACCUGAGUUGGGAUCCCUGGUACUGUUAUAAAACAGGCCCGUAACUGCAGCACGGGGGUGGGCAGUGCAUGAGGAUACCCGGGCGUGCUUGCCAGCUGAGGUCGCUGAAAAGCAGAGCGCCAGGCUCAAUAAGAGACCAUGUCUUAAGAGACUAAGGUGGAGAGUGAUGGAGCGAGACAAUCAAAAUGCUCCACACACUUGCGCAACCACACCCGCGUACACACGUUCACAUUACACGUACACAACUUUAAGAUUGUUUUUUGUCCUUGACAGUCGCCUAACCCUGUGCUUCCACAGCCCCCGGACCUGCUGCUCUCUGUGAAUCGCCCCUCUUUAGUGGGUCUUCGGUACCCCAGACUGACCUUGAACUCCUUGUGUCAAGAAGGACAUCUUUCCACCUCCUGUGUACUGAGAUUACAGGUCACCACCCAGGGUCCUCCUCCAUCCCCUCCUUCCUUGGAGCAGAAUAAAGAAGACUCUCUUCUCUCUCAGAUCUGAGGAAGACAAGCAGCUUUUUACUGCUGGUUUCCCUCCGGCCAUUUAUGGCCCCCUCUUCCGCCUCCCCCACCUUGCACAAUCUAGCUUUGUUUUCUUUACAGCCUUGGCUUGAAAUCGUGUGUUUGUGUUGAUUCUGUCUCCUUUCCCCUAUCUCUACCUCCCCCAACGUUUAGGAUAAAAGCUCCAUUGGACUCAGGACUUAGUCCUCAUCGCUACUGGAACAGAAUAAGCACAGAGAUGCUGGGAGCUGACCGACAUCCUCUGCUUAUAAAAGAGGAAACUGUGGUGCACAACCUGCUGAAACACAGCAGGGAAGAGGGCGGUGCAGAGUGUGACACCAGCCGGUAGGGGCAUCGUGACCCUAGCAUCUUGGAGAUGCCUGGCGGUGUCUCGGGAGCCUGGGUGGUCCUGGCCCCACGCGGAAGUCGCGGGGGCGAGAAAUUGAAUGAGCCCUGCUUGGGGCUAAGAGCCAGAACUGAAGAACCCGAGCAGGCAGGACCUCACAAGCUUUCUAGAACGCCCCAGGCUUUCCCACUUCCUCUCCCGGGAUGCCUCACCAUCAAGCAGGGUGUGAACAAAGCCGGCUUCUACCGGAACCUGGGGCGGCUCACAUUAGAACCUUUGAACCUUUGUGCCUUUCUCACGACGUGGCGGGACUCGCGUUCCGUAUUAUUCUGUACUUUUCCUAUGUAUGAGUUUCCUUACUCGCUUGAUUCUGUCGCUCCUUCCUCUUUCAGAUUGGACUUCUGGUUUUUGUUGGAGCAGAGUGCUUCAAAGUGGAGUGAUCAAAAGCUGUUUCUCAGUAUUUUCUUUCUUUUGGGCCAGUUUCCUAGGAGAUGUUUAUUUACUGGUUUUUUGAGACAGGGGUUCUCUGUGUAACAGCUCUGGCUGUCUCCUGGAACUCGCUUUGUAGGCCAGGUUGGCCUCAAACUCACAGAGAUCCACCUGCCUCUGCCUCCCAAGUGCUGGGAUUAAAGCCAUGUGCCACCACUGCCCAGCGAGUUGAUUUUUUAAAUUAAAGAAGAAUGGAAAAACGAAGCUAGAGAGAUAGUGUAGUUGGUGAAGUGUUUGCCAUGCAAGCUUGAAGACCAGAAUUCAAUCCCUGGUAACCACCCAAAAAAAUCUACCUGUACCCCCAGCACUGGGGAGGCAGAUAGGUAGGUCCUUGGGUCUUGAUGGCCAGCAAGGAUAGCUAAAAUAAUGAGACCCAGAUUCAGUGAGAGACCCUGCCUCAAAAAAGGUGAAGAGUGAUUGAAGAAUAUCCUCAGUGUUAAUCUCUGACUUCCAUGUACACACACAAACAGGAAAGCCCUCGGUGUCCAUUCUAUUUUAGAAGGUAGUGCAAAUUGUGGCUUAUUUUGUCCCAUAUUUGGAGGUCAAGCCAAACAGCUCUGGUUAAAUCGUGUCCCUGCCUUAGGCUUUCCCUUAUUCUAUAGGGUUUUUGUUGUUGUUGUUGUUGAAAAACAAAUGAUUUAUAUCUGGGUCCCCACUCUUUCCACAUAAGUAUAGAUUUAUUUUUACACCAUUUUCUAUCGUUUUUCUUGUUAUUGUGUAAUGUGAUAUAUUAAAGAGGUGUGAUUAAAUACCCCCUUGUUAAUAAAGAAGGAAAAAAAACCCUGCAA